UACGGGGGGGGUAAGCGUUGUUCGGAAUUACUGGGCGUAAAGGGCUCGUAGGUGGCCAACUAAGUCAGACGUGAAAUCCCUCGGCUUAACCGGGGAACUGCGUCUGAUACUGGAUGGCUAGAGUUUGGGAGAGGGAUGCGGAAUUCCAGGUGUAGCGGUGAAAUGCGUAGAUAUCUGGAGGAACACCGGUGGCGAAGGCGGCCUUCUGGACAAUGACUGACGCUAAAACACGAAAGCGUGGGGAGCAAACAGG
rnacentral:rRNA from 1 species